UACGGGAGGCAGCAGUGGGGAAUAUUGCACAAUGGGCGCAAGCCUGAUGCAGCCAUGCCGCGUGUAUGAAGAAGGCCUUCGGGUUGUAAAGUACUUUCAGUCGUGAGGAAGGUGUUAAGGUUAAUAACCUUAGCAAUUGACGUUAGCGACAGAAGAAGCACCGGCUAACUCCGUGCCAGCAGCCGCGGUAAUACGGAGGGUGCGAGCGUUAAUCGGAAUUACUGGGCGUAAAGGGCACGCAGGCGGUUAAUUAAGUUGGAUGUGAAAUCCCCGGGCUUAACCUGGGAAUGGCAUUCAAGACUGGUUAGCUAGAGUCUUGUAGAGGGGGUAGAAUUCCAUGUGUAGCGGUGAAAUGCGUAGAGAUGUGGAGGAAUACCGGGUGGCGAAGGCGGCCCCUGGGACAAAGGACUGACGCUCAUGUGCGAAAGCGUGGGGAGCAAACAGGGAUUAGAUACCCGU
rnacentral:rRNA from 1 species